UUGAGUUUGUUCAUGGCUCAGAUUGAACGCUGGCGGCAGGCCUAACACAUGCAAGUCGAGCGGAUGAGAAGAGCUUGCUCUUCGAUUCAGCGGCGGACGGGUGAGUAAUGCCUAGGAAUCUGCCUGGUAGUGGGGGACAACGUUUCGAAAGGAACGCUAAUACCGCAUACGUCCUACGGGAGAAAGCAGGGGACCUUCGGGCCUUGCGCUAUCAGAUGAGCCUAGGUCGGAUUAGCUAGUUGGUGAGGUAAUGGCUCACCAAGGCGACGAUCCGUAACUGGUCUGAGAGGAUGAUCAGUCACACUGGAACUGAGACACGGUCCAGACUCCUACGGGAGGCAGCAGUGGGGAAUAUUGGACAAUGGGCGAAAGCCUGAUCCAGCCAUGCCGCGUGUGUGAAGAAGGUCUUCGGAUUGUAAAGCACUUUAAGUUGGGAGGAAGGGCAUUAACCUAAUACGUUAGUGUUUUGNCGUUNCUGACAGNAUAUCCAGUCCAGCGCC
rnacentral:rRNA from 1 species